rnacentral:misc_RNA from 1 species
GAUGAAGAACGUAGCGAAAUGCGAUAAGUAAUGUGAAUUGCAGAAUUCAGUGAAUCAUCGAAUCUUUGAACGCAUAUUGCGCUCUCUGGUAUUCCGGAGAGCAUGCUUGUUUGAGUAUCAGUAAACACCUCAACUCCCUUUUCUUUUUUGAAAUUGGAGCUGGACUUGAGUGAUCCCAACGCUUUCUUCCAAGAAAGUGGCGGGUUGCUUGAAAUGCAGGCGCAGCUGAACUUUUCUCUGAGCUAUAAGCAUAUCUAUUUAGUCUGCCUAAAAAACAGAUUAUUACCUUUGCUGCAGCUAACAUAAAGGAGACUAGUUCUUGUGCUGACUGAUGCAGGAUUCACAGAGACAGCUUCGGCUGACUUUGUAAACUCGAUCUCAAAUCAAGUAAGACUACCCGCUGAACUUAAGCAUAUCAAUAAGCGGAGGA